GACGUAGGGCGCGAGCGUUGUCCGGAUUUAUUGGGCGUAAAGAGCUCGUAGGCGGCUUGUCGCGUCGACUGUGAAAUCCCGCGGCUCAACUGCGGGUCUGCAGUCGAUACGGGCAGGCUAGAGUUCGGUAGGGGAGACUGGAAUUCCUGGUGUAGCGGUGAAAUGCGUAGAUAUCUGGAGGAACACCGGUGGCGAAGGCGGCAUCCUGGACCGGUAUUGACGCUGAGGCGCGAAAGCCAGGGGAGCAAACGGG
rnacentral:rRNA from 1 species